rnacentral:rRNA from 1 species
AACGAACGCUGGCGGCAGGCUUAACACAUGCAAGUCGAGCGCCCCGCAAGGGGAGCGGCAGACGGGUGAGUAACGCGUGGGAAUCUACCCUGAUCUGCGGAAUAGCUCCGGGAAACUGGAAUUAAUACCGCAUGUGCCCUGAGGGGCAAAGAUUUAUCGGUUCAGGAUGAGCCCGCGUCCGAUUAGCUAGUUGGUGGGGUAAUGGCCUACCAAGGCGACGAUCGGUAGCUGGUCUAAGAGGAUGAUCAGCCACAUUGGGACUGAGACACGGCCCAAAGUCCUACGGGAGGCAGCAGUGAGGAAUAUUGGACAAAGGGCGCAAGCCUGAGCCAGCCGUGCGGCGUGAGUGAUGAAGGCCCUAGGGUUGUAAAGCUCUUUCAGUGGGGACGAUAAUGACGGUACCCACAGAAGAAGCCCCGGCUAACUUCGUGCCAGCAGCCGCCGCUG